GAUGAACGCUGGCGGCGUGCCUAAUACAUGCAAGUCGAGCGAACGGACGAGAAGCUUGCUUCUCUGAUGUUAGCGGCGGACGGGUGAGUAACACGUGGAUAACCUACCUAUAAGACUGGGAUAACUUCGGGAAACCGGAGCUAAUACCGGAUAAUAUUUUGAACCGCAUGGUUCAAAAGUGAAAGACGGUCUUGCUGUCACUUAUAGAUGGAUCCGCGCUGCAUUAGCUAGUUGGUAAGGUAACGGCUUACCAAGGCAACGAUGCAUAGCCGACCUGAGAGGGUGAUCGGCCACACUGGAACUGGGACACGGUCCAGAGUCCUACGGGAGGCAGCAGUAGGGAAUCUUCCGCAAUGGGCGAAAGCCUGACGGAGCAACGCCGCGUGAGUGAUGAAGGUCUUCGGAUCGUAAAACUCUGUUAUUAGGGAAGAACAUAUGUGUAAGUAACUGUGCACAUCUUGACGGUACCUAAUCAGAAAGCCACGGCUAACUACGUG
rnacentral:rRNA from 1 species